CAGUCGCCGCGGUAAUGCGUAGGGUGCGAGCGUUAAUCGGAAUUACUGGGCGUAAAGCGUGCGCAGGCGGUUGUGUAAGACAGGUGUGAAAUCCCCGGGCUUAACCUGGGAACUGCGCUUGUGACUGCACAGCUAGAGUAUGGCAGAGGGGGGUGGAAUUCCACGUGUAGCAGUGAAAUGCGUAGAGAUGUGGAGGAACACCGAUGGCGAAGGCAGCCCCCUGGGCCAAUACUGACGCUCAUGCACGAAAGCGUGGGGAACAAACAGGAUUAGAUACCCCCGUAGUCCCUGUCUCUUAUAC
rnacentral:rRNA from 1 species